rnacentral:rRNA from 1 species
GCAAGUCGAACGAUGACUCUGUGCUUGCACAGAUGAUUAGUGGCGAACGGGUGAGUAACACGUGAGUAACCUGCCCUUGACUCUGGGAUAAGCCUGGGAAACUGGGUCUAAUACUGGAUAUGCACCGUGGACCGCAUGGUUCUUGGUGGAAAGAUUUUAUUGGUCAAGGAUGGACUCGCGGCCUAUCAGCUUGUUGGUGAGGUAAUGGCUCACCAAGGCGACGACGGGUAGCCGGCCUGAGAGGGUGACCGGCCACACUGGGACUGAGACACGGCCCAGACUCCUACGGGAGGCAGCAGUGGGGAAUAUUGGACAAUGGGCGCAAGCCUGAUCCAGCCAUGCCGCGUGUGUGAAGAAGGCCUUCGGGUUGUAAACCUCUUUCAGUAGGGAAGAAGCGAAAGUGACGGUACCUGCAGAAGAAGCGCCGGCUAACUACGUGCCAGCAGCCGCGGUAAUACGUAGGGCGCAAGCGUUAUCCGGAAUUAUUGGGCGUAAAGAGCUCGUAGGCGGUUUGUCGCGUCUAUCGUGAAUGUCCGAGGCUCAACCUCGGAUCUGCGGUGGGUACGGGCAGACUAGAGUGAUGUAGGGGAGACUGGAAUUCCUGGU